rnacentral:rRNA from 1 species
AGACGCCACCAACGGUGGUGAAGAUAUAGUCCGAACUAUAUAGCGAUAUAUAGAGUUCACAAAAAUGUGAGAAUAACAAACUUAAGCGAAAUACCUUGUCGGGUAAGUUCCGACGCGCAUGAAUAGCGUAACGACUGGGGGACUGUCUCAGCCAAUAGCCUGGUGAAAAUGCAAUGUCAGUAAAGAUGCUGACUACCCGCACCAAGACGGAAAGACCCCGGGAGCUUUACUGCAGCUUGUUAUUGGGUUACGAGUUUUACUGCGUAGUGUAGUGGGUAGGAUUUGAAGGUUCGAUCUCGGUCGGACUGGAUCCAACAAUGAAACACCCAUCUGUAAAAUUUGUAAUUCUAACUGGUGAAACCCUUUUAGUUUGUGAGUAAGGGAAUGUAAAGUCCGGAGGAGUAGCGUUAGUAAUCAUUAGUAAUAAUGGGAUUUUAUAUUCCAAGAAAAUUAGUUCGCAAGCCAAAAGGGUUUCAUCAAGACAGUGGCUGGUGGGCAGUUUUGCUGGGGCUGCAGCCUCCCAAAAAGUAACGGAGGCAUUCAUUAAGGUUGGCUAGCUCUGGAUGGACAUCAGAGCGAUAGUGUAAAGGCACAAGCCAGCUUGACUGCAAGGCGGAUAUGCCGCGCAGGUGCGAAAGCAGGACUUAGUGAUCCGAUGGUACCUCGUAGGAGGGCCAGAGCUCAAUAGAUAAAAGCUACCCCGGGGAUAACAGGCUGGUACUGCCCGAGCGUCCAUAGCGACGGCAGUGUUCGGCACCUCGAUGUCGGCUCGGCUUAUCCUGGGACUGGAGAGUGGUAAUUAACCUUCUCUCCUUAGAAGUAAUUCUAAGGUAAUAAACUAGCUCAAAACGGUAGAGUCCUUGUUGAUAAAUGAUUUGAAGGUUCCAGGUGGAACUGGUAAAAUAUAAUCAAUGAAGGAUGUUACCGUAGGAAAGAGACCGAGUAGUGAUUUAACUGAAGCGUAUAUCGCCGGAUUUUUAGAUGGCGAUGGCGCGGUUAGUGCAAUUAUUGAGAGGCAUCCUGAAAAGAAGUUUAGAUUUCGAGUAAGAGUCUGUUUGGACUUUUACCAACACCAAGAUAAUAUUCGAGUUCUUGAUUAUAUAAAGGAUUAUUUCGGCGAAGGUUCGCUAGGAAAGUCGAUCAGGAAUACUCACAAAUUAUCACUUCGAAAUCAGAGUACUCUCAAAACAAUUCUGCCCUUACUGCAUAAAUAUGUUGUAAUUAAGAAAAAACAGAUUGAGAUUGCGUUAACGAUAUUGGACUACAAAAUUGAGACCAAAAAAGAUCUAAUUAAAGUUGCCAAGUUGGCAGAUCAAUUAAGUAGUCAUAAUAUUCGGUCAAAGGGUAUUAGAAAAAAUAGUUCAAAAAUCAUUACUUAGUUUCUCCUCUAACGACUGAUUCUUUAGUCAAACUAAAGAUGAGAUAGUUGUUUUUAAACGACUAUCACACGGCUAGCAUCCUAAUUCGUUAAAGACGAAUGGAUGAAGGUAUAGUCUGCGCUUAUAGUAAUAUAGGAAUUUGUGAGGCCCCAAGGGUUUGGCUGUUCGCCAAUUAAAAAGCUACGCGAGCUGGGUUCAAACCGUGUUGACUGUUACACAAGUAUGUGUUGUAGUUAGCACCGUUUGAAUCCGAGGAAAAAGACAUCGAAAAUGAAAAUCACGGCGACACUAUAUAGGAAUAUGUGGUGUGGAGUUAACUUAUUUCGGUAAAAUCCUAAAAAGGACAAUACCGAGGGAAUUCGUAUUAUUACGAAGCCCGUAGAGACUGAAUGUUAACCAUCCAGAACGGAUGAAGAUACAGUCCAAUGCACGAAGUAAUUCGUGAAAACAUGCGUGAGACAGGUUGGUCCUUAUCUGGUGCGGGCGUUGAUACUUGAGGGGGGUUGUCCCUAGUAAAGUUUUGCUACUUUACAGGGUAACCUGUAUUGAAAAUUCGGCUAAUAACGGUGGAGGCUCUUGUUUGCUAUGCUUAAUUGGUCCCGAAAAGCAUGGAGAAAACUGGCGAGAGUUAAUACCGUGGGAAGUUGCCCGCUCAAAUUUUUGGAUUUAUUAGUAAAAAAAGCCGUCUCCUGUGGAGGCGGCCGGUGAGGAGUUCGGUGUUAUCUGCACAUAUUUUGACCAAUGCUUAUGCCUAGUGCAAAAACGGUUAGCAGGGCAAGUGCGCAUAGUUCACAGAUAAUGACUUUAGUGGCUUUGCGGAUACUUUUGCAAUCAGCAUCAAUUUUUGCACAAAUUUCCGCAAACUCAUUUCGAAAGACUAUCAUUUUGAACCUCCCCUUUUUAACUAAUUAUAAUAUACAAAACGCAAAAGUCCAAAAAUUUGAGCGAGUAACCCCGUAACGACUUAGUGUUAUUAAACACUGGAUAGCUAGUGAGGAGACCAUACUACACCUUCGGUUUCGAAGGGCGCAGUAACGUCAAAGGCCAGCUAUAAUACGCCGAUCCCUCUCCACUUUUGCUAAUAUAAAAACGGCAAUUUUAAGCUUAAAAUUGCUAUGGCAAUUUAAGUUUAGCUUAGUGUUAAGUUGAACUAGGGAUUGUGGGCAAAAGUGGGGAGGGAAAGAUAUAGUCUAUACUCUUAGCGAUAAGAGACAAUUAGAAAGUUUUUGGUUUUAAACUAAUAACUACAAACUAAAAACUAUAAACUAAUUAUGACGAGAGGACCGGGAUGAACAAACCUCUGGUCUGCCAGCUGUUCUGCCAAGAGCAGCGCUGGGUAGCUAUGUUUGGUUCCGAUAAGCGCUGAAAGCAUAUAAGCGCGAAACGGGCCCCAAGAUUAGGUAUCGUGGACGCAAGUCCGAAGAUCCGUGAGAGAUUAUCACGUUGAUAGGGCUCAGGUGUACGCACAGUAAUGUGUUCAGCCGAGAGCUACUAAUAGAUCAAUGGGUCCC